rnacentral:rRNA from 1 species
AUUGAACGCUGGCGGCAUGCCUUACACAUGCAAGUCGAACGGUAACAGGUCUUCGGCUGCUGCCGAGUGGCGAACGGGUGAGUAAUACAUCGGAACGUGCCCGAUCGUGGGGGAUAACGGAGCGAAAGCUUUGCUAAUACCGCAUACGAUCUACGGAUGAAAGCAGGGGACCGCAAGGCCUUGCGCGGACGGAGCGGCCGAUGGCAGAUUAGGUAGUUGGUGGGAUAAAAGCUUACCAAGCCGACGAUCUGUAGCUGGUCUGAGAGGACGACCAGCCACACUGGGACUGAGACACGGCCCAGACUCCUACGGGAGGCAGCAGUGGGGAAUGUUGGACAAUGGGCGAAAGCCUGAUCCAGCCAUGCCGCGUGCAGGAUGAAGGCCUUCGGGUUGUAAACUGCUUUUGUACGGAACGAAAAGACUCUUUCUAAUAAAGAGGGUCCAUGACGGUACCGUAAGAAUAAGCACCGGCUAACUACGUG